rnacentral:misc_RNA from 1 species
AAGAUACUGUACUUACUGUACUCUAUCUACUGUAUUUUCGUGAGCCUCUGUAUAGAAUAAAUAGUAUUGUGUCUGCAGGUGUGUACAACUGAAAGAGAAUGCAACUAUCAACUCGUACGUUGACUUGUGUAACAUCAACUGUGAUCUGGUUCCUCGCGUGUUGUCGACUGAUUAUUUAACGACUUAACGGGUUAACAGCGAGCCAGAAACGGGGCUCGAUUCGCCUUCUGCCUGAAGUUGCUCGUUGGAGCAGCGAACAAAGGAUCGUAAGCGAGGGUUGUUUUCUGGCGAAGAAAACGAUGGCGCGACGAGAACGAAAAUACGAGACAACGAAGAACGCCACGUGGGAACCGGAUAGAGGCACGUGCCUCGGGUUUCGACAACUCCUGGCGAGCGGCGGACUAUUUCCGCGUGACGAGGAAAUUGUUCUCCAGCCGUCCUGACGCCGCGGGAGGCGACUCGCAGAGGAUUCGUCGCGCCCUCGCAGCGGGUGAUGGACCUCGCGUGGUCUUACGCUCGUCUUUUCGGACUACGAUUGACUACGAAAUCUAAAGCGACUCGGAAAUUCACCCAGAGAUGAUAAUCUCCGCGAGUCACCGAGAAAGAUGAUCCACUGCCGAUCAUGACUGCGGAGAAUUUGGAUCUAAGAGGAGUUUCAGUUUUUAGGCUUGAAAGAGGAUCGAUGAAGAAUGGAAUUUUGGUUUUUCUAUUGAUUUACUUACUUUAAACUAAGAAUGUUUAUGGAAAUUUAGUGUACCAAAUGCACGUAAUAUGCAAAAAUAGUAUAGGCACACAUAGUUAUUUAUUAAUUGAAGCGUUUUAUUCUAUAUACGGAUAAUCAGAUUCUAUAU